AGCUUUGCACAGUGGCAGUAUUGUAGCAAAUGUGGUUUAUCUGAGGAGCGAUUAUUGCUAAUUGAAAGCUUUCCCAGCACCCUGCCAUGAUGACUUGAAAUAUAGUCAGCUUUGGCAAUUUUUGACAGUCUCUCUGGAAA